UACAGAGGAGCCAAGCGUUGUCCGGAUUGACUGGGCGUAAAGCGCACGCAGGCGGACGCGCGCGUGGGGUGUGAAAUCUGGCCGCUUAACGGCCAGGCGCCAUCCCAUACGGCGCGUCUGGAGUGAUGCAGAGGUCGAUGGAAUUGCCGGUGUAGUGGUGAAAUGCGUAGAUAUCGGGAAGAACACCCGUGGCGAAGGCGGCUCACUGGUCCAUUACUGACGCUGAGGUGCGAAAGCGUGGGGAGCAAACAGG
rnacentral:rRNA from 1 species